CUUCCACCCGUGAGAGACCACCCCUUGUGCCACUCCCCCUGCAACGCCGGAGCCCCAAGGUCACGUAUCCACCCAGCAACUCCUACCUGUUUGAUACAGUGCCAGACACAACCAGCUCACCCAGUAGCGUCACACUGAAAGGCUUCACUAUGCACGUGGAGGAAGUGACCAACACCAAAAUUCUGGAAGGCCGCAGUUUAUCUGCGGGUGAGGUGGGG